rnacentral:lncRNA from 1 species
AUAAAUUAUCUUCCAACCAUUAAAAUUGGUGUCUGGGUUCUGAGUUCUUUAAAAUGGGUUCAUCAAAUAGGUUGUUUUCCAGGCAGAGAACUGUUCAUCAGAUCCUUGGAGGAGGACUUGGCAAGUCCGGCAUCUGAAAUGCUCGUUUUCUCAAUUUUCAGAUCGGUUUUUUCUUUUUCACUUCAUCAACGUAAUGUUUGUAUUUACUGAAGUCGAGGAUAUCAUAAUCCAUAUAUACUCGACAGUUAUCUUAUUGAUUUAGUAUUGCAAAUUGCAAUUCCCGCAUAGUUUGUCCGUCUUUUUGUUCAACC